UACGUAGGGGGCAAGCGUUGUCCGGAUUUAUUGGGCGUAAAGAGCGUGUAGGCGGCUUGGUAGGUCUCGCGUCAAAACCUGAGGCUCAACCUCAGUUCGCGUGGGAAACCACCUGGCUAGAGUCCGGGAGAGGAGAGUGGAAUUCCUGGUGUAGCGGUGAAAUGCGCAGAUAUCAGGAAGAACACCCGUGGCGAAAGCGGCUCUCUGGAACGGUACUGACGCUGAGACGCGAAAGCGUGGGGAGCGAACAGG
rnacentral:rRNA from 1 species